rnacentral:rRNA from 1 species
CAGCCUACGGGACGCAGCAGUGGGGAAUAUUGGACAAUGGGGGAAACCCUGAUCCAGCGACGCCGCGUGAGUGAAGAAGUAUUUCGGUAUGUACAGCUCUAUCAGCAGGGAAGAAAAUGACGGUACCUGACUAAGAAGCCCCGGCUAACUACGUGCCAGCAGCCGCGGUAAUACGUAGGUGGCGAGCGUUGUCCGGAAUUACUGGGUGUAAAGGGAGUGUAGGCGGGGAAGCAAGUCAGAAGUGAAAA